UGUACGAAAAGGCAAAAUCAUUGAAAAGUGGUGGCGCAAAACUAUAGGGGCUAAGGUGAAAAUACUAUGCUAGCCAGUUAUCGAA
rnacentral:ncRNA from 1 species